rnacentral:tRNA from 1 species
AAAGAAUUAGUUAAAAAAUAACAUUAAAUUGUCAAUUUAAAAUUAUUAAUAUUAAUAUUUUUUC